rnacentral:tRNA from 1 species
UGGCUCAGAGGUUAAAGCAUCUGUCUGCAAUGCAGGAGACCUGGGUUCAAUCCCUG